rnacentral:rRNA from 1 species
GACGAACGCUGGCGGCGUGCUUAACACAUGCAAGUCGAACGGUGAAACGCCUUCCUUUUUGGUGGGUUGGGAUGAGUGGCGGACGGGUGAGUAACAGGUUAGUAUCCUGCCCCCUUCUUCUGGAUAACCGCAUGAAAGAGUGGCUACUACGUGAUAUUCUGAGUCUGUCGCAUGAUGGGUCUGGGAAAGUUAUUGUUUCGGUGGGGGAUGGGCUCGCGGCUUAUCAGCUUGUUGGUGAGGUGAUGGCCUACCAAGGCGGUGACGGGUAGCCGGCCUGAGAGGGUCGACGGCCACACGGGGACGGAGAGACCGCCAAUACUCCGACGGGCGGCAGCAGUGGGUAAUAUUGCACAGUGGGCGGACGCCUGAUGCAGCGACGCGGGGUGGGGGAAGGAGGCCGGCGGGUUGUGAACUUUUUUCGCGAGUGAAGCAGGCCUGCCUCGUUUGUGGGUGGGUUGACGGUAGCUGGAUAAGAAGCGCCGGCUAACUACGUG